GUGGAACAGAGGCUCUUCCCAGGGCUCUUUCUGCCUCUGGAUGUUGGUGUUGAUGAUGUGAUGUCUGGAGCUGUUGCAACCACCUUGCUACCAGCUUGAGGCUGAAGCUUCAAGAACAGGAAGCCCCCAUAUUGUAUGAGCCUCAGGCCCUGCAGCACCUGGUCUGCCUGUGAUCAUGAAGAGAGUCCACCUGCCCAAGGAAAGACUGUGCCGUCUCAUGCUUCCCAGGCCUCCGAUGCACUCAUCCCUCCUUCCAGAGUGAUUUCUCUAUGCUGGGUGAGGGGUUUCCAACCUCUGCAGUUUCCAUCUUUUACCUCUGAUCUGGUGCAUGAUUUUUUCUAAAGGAACUCUUAGAAGACACUUAACAUGACCUGAUCAGGAACCUUCUUUAGCUUCUUCCAAGGACACAGCUCAGUGCCCAGAAGAUGGACCUGUUCACUCUCAGCUUCCCCGCAUCCUGCUCUGUUCCAAGGGAGCAGACACACAGGGAAAAGUCGGGGGAGUCCUGUGCAGAACCCCGACGUCACACCAUCUUCCCCAAGGAAGAUAGAAUUGUGUCAGAAAGGGACUGUUUUUCAAAAAAUCAGCUGUUCAUUGUGUGCCUGGAUGGUGGUCCCUUUGGUCAAUAAACCCUUCAUCCACAUGGAAAAUUAUGAGCACUUCCGUGCAAGAAAGACUUUGCCCCCAACCACAACAUCUGUGCACCUGCUGCUCUGCCCUCAGCCGCUCUCUCCCAGUAGAAGCCUGAAUCACUAAGUGCACCCUCCACUGAGAGGAUGAGGCCCAGAUUUGACUCCCCCGCUCAUGGCUGCCUGGGCGCUGCUACACUUCCCA
rnacentral:lncRNA from 1 species